GCACUUGCACCGGCGGGUCGGGCAUCCUAUAUCUGAUCCUGUUCGGGGCAACCCGGACUAUGGACAUAAACGCGCAUGGAAUAAGCGGAUCGGACCCGGGGGCGGUACCCGGCGGCUCCACCAAACACCCUUCGUUGGGGGAACAUGGGGCCGAAACAGGAUCGACGAACGUCUAAAGCUGUUUGCUUUGUCUCGGUGAGCUACCACCGUUAUCGGUGCAAAAUGUACAGUUGCCAACGACAACCGUGCUCCGGUCGCUCUGGCUGCGUAAGCAGCUCGAAAGACCGAAACUUAAGUCCUUACGCCUAGCAGCCUAAGGCGGGGUCCGCAGGAACCUGGCAACAGAAUCCUGCACU
rnacentral:tmRNA from 1 species